UUGGCUAUGUGUGUUUCCUAAACAGACCU
rnacentral:piRNA from 1 species